CCUCGGUCCCCGCCCCGGGGCGGGGCUUCGCUCGGCGGCCGGCCGGCCUUUCCGCUGCGGCCCGUGCCCCGGCUGGAGGGCCGCGGCCGCGCUCCGGACACGUGCGGAGGGAACAGCCGAGGGCUUUGGAGAGAUGCAGCCCCAGGAUAACUUGAAAGUAGGGCAUGUUUGGCCCUCCUGAAGAGAGAAAAUUAGUGGUUGGUGAACAGUCUGUAUGGCAUUCUCAGAUGCCUUUACCUGAGGGAGAAAUCUGCCUCCAUUCAGACCUCAGAUGUCUCUUGACAGCCCUAUGUGACACUGGGAUAGGAUAUUCCUGCCUAAGAGAUACUGCUGUUAUUUGUCCAAGGUCACACAGUGGGCCCAGAAACUACUGUUGUGUUCAGUUAAUCUGGCUCCAAAGCUAGAGUUUGACUUGGAACUUUUAAGUAUGGUGCCCCCAAGUCUUUCCAACUAAUUCUAAUAAAUAAUUGCUUGCUUUCUUCAAUCAUCAAA